UGGUAGCUCAGUUGGUAGAGAAUGAGACUAGUAAUUUCAGGGUCAUGGGUUCGAAUCCCACAUUGAGCAAAA